rnacentral:lncRNA from 1 species
CCGCGGCGUCACGUCCGCGAGGCUCCCGGGCCAGCCGGCGUCUGUGGGGAACUGGGGCGCUGGUCGGUGCGCGGGCUGGGACGCUAAGUCAUGAGGAAUUAAACUGGGAAACCUGGCGUGGGUCCAGGCGCCUUCCAGGAGGCAUCCGGCGCGGCCCGGACGUGCUUCUACCCAGAACCACCCCCUCCAGGCCGGGGUGCACUAAACGGGGCUAUACAAAGAGUCUGGUGGGUGACUGUGGGCCUCAUCCCUAUCCCGGGGUCUGAUAGGGAAGACUCUCGGGCCCCGCAGGGAAUAUCUGGCUAGUGCACCCUCGGCGGGCGCGCCACUCUCCCUCCUUGGGCGGCGCCCCCCCCUCUCAUCCCGCCCAAUCCGUUUUGCAAAGUCGGCCAAAACAAAAACAAACUUGGAGCGCUGAUAACACUGUUAUUGCCCAUCUGAACUCGUCAACUGAGAAGGAAUGAGAUGGUUUACGCUGUGAAUAAAAUACAGUUGUGCUGUGAUGUUAAAUCCCCUCAUCUGGAGCAGCUGAGCAAGGUCUAAGGCAGGAAGAACCUUCAAGCAGGUCAUGGCUGCAGGCUCAACUCUGCCUGGCAGUGGCAAGGGCCAGGGCCAGUGACUGAAGCAACAAACUGCCAGAUGACUGCAGCUCAAGCCAAUGCACAAAGCCACUGCACCAAGAGAGGAAAUUCUUCCAUUUCCAAGUGUGUCGAUUUCUCCCCAUCAAGGAAAACAGCUAAGGCAAUGUGUUGAUAUUUUCUUUGACCAAGUCAUCAGGAGUCACAUAGACAUACAGCACUCAAGAAGUGGCUGUGACUAAAGGCAUAUCUCAUUCAUCUACAACCCUUGUAAUCCCAACCUUUGUCUGAUGCACAAACCCUUCCCUAGUUCUCCCCACCACCACCACUGCACCUCCAAGUGGGGACAACGAAUUGUUUCAUUUGCAUGUGGUUUUUCUCAUCAAAAAUAUCAUUAACAUGAGAGAGCCCCAAACCAAGGAAACCAGAAGUGGGGUUUGUGCUUGGUCUUACUGAGAGCUUUCCCUACUUGACCAGACCCCAGCAUUGUUCUAGAUUUGUCUCUUGUGGGCUACAGGAAUGCAAACAUUUUGUAGUUUCCUCUUUUUUGUUUUCUUAAUGGCUUGAUGAGCCAUGCAUUUCUCUAAAUGCACUGAUUUAAAUUCACACAAUUUCUGCCAACUAAACUUAAUGCAUUUUCCUCCUCUUCUAAUCAAUAAGGGCUAUCAGAAUGUUUUGGGUGAAGAUGAGCGGAACCCGUUCGUCUUCACUCCAGUUUCCCUCAAACUACACUCAGGCGCUGUUUUCUACAGAACCCAGGCUAAAAGACUUGGCACCAGGAGUGUCCUGCAGACACUCAGGAUGGAAUGCUGGAGUUGGGUUACUUUCCGACCGUGUGGCAAUAAAGACCCAUGGCACGGUGAGUGGGUAGUUAUGAAGCAACACAGUGAUACCAUGAUUACAAAGGCUUCCUACCUGUAGCUAAUUGAGAUGCAGUGCAGAUAGAAGGUGGG